rnacentral:tRNA from 1 species
GCUCCUAUCGUUUAAUUAGGUAAGACAAUACUUUUUCGUAGUGUUAAUGUGAGUUCAAUUCUCACUGGGAGUA